rnacentral:misc_RNA from 1 species
GAUGAAGAACGCAGCGAAAUGCGAUAAGUAAUGUGAAUUGCAGAAUUCAGUGAAUCAUCGAAUCUUUGAACGCACAUUGCGCACGCCAGUAUUCUGGCGGGCAUGCCUGUCUGAGCGUCAUUUCAACCCUCAUGCCCCUAGGGCGUGGUGUUGGGGAUCGGCCAAAGCCCGCGAGGGACGGCCGGCCCCUAAAUCUAGUGGCGGACCCGUCGUGGCCUCCUCUGCGAAGUAGUGAUAUUCCGCAUCGGAGAGCGAUGAGCCCCUGCCGUUAAACCCCCAACUUUCCAAGGUUGACCUCAGAUCAGGUAGGAAUACCCGCUGAACUUAAGCAUAUCAAUAAGCGGAGGA